rnacentral:rRNA from 1 species
UACGUAGGAGGCAAGCGUUGUCCGGAGUUACUGGGCGUAAAGCGUGUGUAGGCGGUUGGCUGCGUCCGGUGUGAAAUCUCCCGGUUUACCUGGGAGGGGGCAUCGGAUACGAGCGGACUUGAGGGCAUCAGAGGCCAGUAGAACUCCCGGUGGACCAGUGAAAUGGGUAGAGAUCGGGAGGAACACCAGUGGCGAAGGCGAUCACCUGGGGUUGUUCUGACGCUGAGGAGCGAAAGCUAGGGGAGCAAACGGG